AACGAACGCUGGCGGCAGGCCUAACACAUGCAAGUCGAGCGAAGCCUUCGGGCUUAGCGGCGGACGGGUGAGUAACGCGUGGAAACGUGCCCUUUGGUACGGAAUAGCCCCGGGAAACUGGGAGUAAUACCGUAUGUGGUCGAGAGACGAAAGAUUUAUCGCCAAAGGAUCGGCCCGCGUUGGAUUAAGUAGUUGGUGGGGUAAUGGCCUACCAAGCCGACGAUCCAUAGCUGGUUUAAGAGGAUGAUCAGCCACACUGGGACUGAGACACGGCCCAGACUCCUACGGGAGGCAGCAGUGGGGAAUCUUAGACAAUGGGGGAAACCCUGAUCUAGCCAUGCCGCGUGAUCGAUGAAGGCCUUAGGGUUGUAAAGAUCUUUCAGUGGGGAAGAUAAUGACUGUACCCACAGAAGAAGCCCCGGCUAACUCCGUGCCAGCCGCCGCAGUAAGAC
rnacentral:rRNA from 1 species